rnacentral:rRNA from 1 species
AGUAGUCAUAUGCUUGUCUCAAAGAUUAAGCCAUGCAUGUCUCAGUGCAAGCUAAAUUAAAGUGAAACCGCGAAUGGCUCAUUAAAUCAGUUAUGGUUCCUUGGAUCCUACAUAUCCUACUUGGACAACUGUGGUAAUUCUAGAGCUAAUACAUGCACCCAGAGCCCCGUCCAGAAAUGGUCGGGGCGCAGUUAUUAGAUCAAAACCAAUCGGUCGGGCUCGCCCGUCCGUAGUUUUGGUGACUCGGAAUAACCACGGCUGAUCGCACGGCCUCGCGCCGGCGACGUAUCCUUCGAAUGUCUGCCUUAUCAACUGUCGAUGGUAGGUUCUGCGCCUACCAUGGUUGUAACGGGUAACGGGGAAUCAGGGUUCGAUUCCGGAGAGGGAGCCUGAGAAACGGCUACCACAUCCAAGGAAGGCAGCAGGCGCGCAAAUUACCCACUCCCGGCACGGGGAGGUAGUGACGAAAAAUAACGAUACGGGACUCAUCCGAGGCCCCGUAAUCGGAAUGAGAACACUUUAAAUCUUUUAACGAGUACCUAAUGGAGGGCAAGUCUGGUGCCAGCAGCCGCGGUAAUUCCAGCUCCAUUGGCGUAUAUUAAAGU